GACGAACGCUGGCGGCGUGCUUAACACAUGCAAGUCGAACGGAAAGGCCCUGCUUUUGUGGGGUGCUCGAGUGGCGAACGGGUGAGUAACACGUGAGUAACCUGCCCUUGACUUUGGGAUAACUUCAGGAAACUGGGGCUAAUACCGGAUAGGAGCUCCUGCUGCAUGGUGGGGGUUGGAAAGUUUCGGCGGUUGGGGAUGGACUCGCGGCUUAUCAGCUUGUUGGUGGGGUAGUGGCUUACCAAGGCUUUGACGGGUAGCCGGCCUGAGAGGGUGACCGGCCACAAUGGGACUGAGAUACGGCCCAGACUCGUACGGGAGGCAACAGUGGGGAAUAUUGCACAAUAGGCGGAAGCCUGAUGCAGCGACGCCGCGUGCGGGAUGACGGCCUUCGGGUUGUAAACCGCUUUCGCCUGUGACGAAGCGUGAGUGACGGUAAUGAGUAAGGAAGCACCGGCUAACUACGUG
rnacentral:rRNA from 1 species